AGUGCAAGCGUUAUCCGGAAUUAUUGGGCGUAAAGCGUCCGCAGGCGGCCCUUCAAGUCUGCUGUUAAAACGUGGAGCUUAACUCCAUCAUGGCAGUGGAAACUGUUGGGCUUGAGUGUGGUAGGGGCAGAGGGAAUUCCCGGUGUAGCGGUGAAAUGCGUAGAUAUCGGGAAGAACACCAGUGGCGAAGGCGCUCUGCUGGGCCAUAACUGACGCUCAUGGACGAAAGCCAGGGGAGCGAAAGGGAUUAGAUACCCCUGUAGUCCUGGCCGUAAACGAUGAACACUAGGUGUCGGGGGAAUCGACCCCCUCGGUGUCGUAGCCAACGCGUUAAGUGUUCCGCCUGGGGAGUACGCACGCAAGUGUGAAACUCAAAGGAAUUGACGGGGGCCCGCACAAGCGGUGGAGUAUGUGGUUUAAUUCGAUGCAACGCGAAGAACCUUACCAGGGUUUGACAUCCUGCGAACCUCUUGGAAACGAGAGGGUGCCUUCGGGAACGCAGUGAUAGGUGGUGCAUGGCUGUCGUCAGCUCGUGUCGUGAGAUGUUGGGUUAAGUCCCGCAACGAGCGCAACCCACGUCUUUAGUUGCCAGCAUUUAGUUGGGCACUCUAGAGAGACCGCCGGUGAUAAACCGGAGGAAGGUGUGGAUGACGUCAAGUCAUCAUGCCCCUUACAUCCUGGGCUACACACGUACUACAAUGCUACGGACAAAGAGCAGCAAGUUCGCGAGGACAAGCAAAUCCCAUAAACCGUGGCUCAGUUCAGAUCGUAGGCUGCAACUCGCCUACGUGAAGGAGGAAUCGCUAGUAAUCGCAGGUCAGCAUACUGCGGUGAAUACGUUCCCGGGCCUUGUACACACCGCCCGUCACACCAUGGAAGUUGGCCACGCCCGAAGCCGUUACUCCAACCCUUGUGGAGGAGGACGUCGAAGGUGGGGCUGAUGACUGGGGUGAAGUCGUAACAAGGUAGCCGUA
rnacentral:rRNA from 1 species